rnacentral:rRNA from 1 species
AUUGAACGCUGGCGGCAGGCCUAACACAUGCAAGUCGAACGCGUGGCGGACGGGUGAGUACUGUCUGGGAAACUGCCCGAUGGAGGGGGAUAACUACUGGAAACGGUAGCUAAUACCGCAUACCAUCGGAUGUGCACAGAUGGGAUUAGCUAGUAGGUGGGGUAACGGCUCACCUGGGCGACGAUCCCUAGCUGGUCUGAGAGGAUGACCAGCCAAACUGGAACUGAGACACGGUCCAGACUCCUACGGGAGGCAGCAGUGGGGAAUAUUGCACAAUGGGCUCAAGCCUGAUGCAGCCAGGCCGCGGGUAUGAAGAAGGCCUUGGGGUUGUAAAGUACUUUCAGCGGGGAGGCGUUACCCGCAGAAGAAGCACCGGCUAACUCCGUGCCAGCAGCCGCGGUAAUUC